UUUCCUACGGGAGGCAGCAGUGGGGAAUAUUGCACAAUGGGGAAACCCUGAACCAGCAACGCCGCGUGAGGGAAGACGGUUUUCGGAUUGUAAACCUCUGUCCUCUGUGAAGAUAAUGACGGUAGCAGAGGAGGAAGCUCCGGCUAACUACGUGCCAGCAGCCGCGGUAAUACGUAGGGAGCAAGCGUUGUCCGGAUUUACUGGGUGUAAAGGGUGCGUAGGCGGGCUUGCAAGUCAGAAGUGAAAUCUAUGGGCUUAACCCAUAAACUGCUUUUGAAACUGUAAGUCUUGAGUGAAGUAGAGGU
rnacentral:rRNA from 1 species